GACGAACGCUGGCGGCGUGCCUAAUACAUGCAAGUCGAACGCUGAAGCGCGGAGCUUGCUCUUCUUGGGUGAGUUGCGCACGGGUGAGUAACGCGUAGGUAACCUGCCUUGUAGCGGGGUAUAACUAUUGGAAACGAUAGCUAAUACCGCAUAACCAUGGAUUACACAUGUCAUUUAUGUGAAAGGGGCAAUUUCGCCACAUUAAGAAGGACCUGCGUUGUAUUAGCUAGUAGGUGAGGUAAUGGCUCACCUAGGCGACGGUGAGUAGCCGACCUGAGAGGGUGACACGGCACAGACGCACUGGGGAGGCAGCAGGAGGGAAUCUGCAGCAAGGGGGGCAGACCUGAGCGAGAAACGCGGAGGGAGGGAAGAAGGUUUUCGGAUCGGAAAGCUCGGUUGUAAGUCAAGAACGGGGGUGAGAGUGGAAAGUUCAGACUGUGACGGUAGCUUAUCAGAAAGGGACGGCUAACUACGUG
rnacentral:rRNA from 1 species